GAAAUCACAUGAGCCUUUUAAAUAUUGGUGAUUGUGAUAACGUAAGGGAAAAAAAUGAUAUUACCUUACUAUUAGUGUUGUCCAAAACUGGUGCCAGAAGACUCGGUAAGGCCAGAGACGCGAACGUUAGUCGUCCUAAUCAGGCGUAAAGGGUGUGUAGGCUGCUUUUAAAGUUAUAUUUCUCGAAAAGCUCUUUCAAUUUAAUUGCUACCUUUACCCUCGCUAAAGCGAAAUAAGGAUAAGGGAUAGUGAUUAUAUUUAAAGGAAAAAAUAUAAUGAAUAAAAGCUAGGAUCAAAACGAGGAUAAGCCAAAUAAUACUUAGAGUAGGGAUAAUAUCUGUAGAUACUAAGUGGAAUACUAAAGGUGAAAGCUUUUUAUCUAGUAAUGAUUGACGCUGAGAAACGAAGGUGAGAAUAGGAAAUAGGAUUAGAUACCCAGAUACCUCUCACUGUCAACGAUGAAUGGUGGUUGUUAGUUUAUUAUGAAACUGGUAACGAUGUUAACACGAUAACCAUUCCGCCUUGCGAGUACGGUUGCAAAACUGAAACCAAAAAAAUUA
rnacentral:rRNA from 1 species